AGAGUUUGAUCCUGGCUCAGGAUGAACGCUAGCGGGAGGCUUAACACAUGCAAGUCGAGCGGGAAGGGUAGCAAUACCCUGAGAGCGGCGCACGGGUGCGUAACGCGUAUGUAACCUGCCUUAUACAGGGGGAUAGCCCAUGGAAACGUGGAUUAACACCCCAUAGGACUGGAAUUUCGCAUGGGAAUUCGGUUAAAAUUACGGUGGUAUAAGAUGGGCAUGCGUCUGAUUAGGUAGUUGGUAGGGUAACGGCCUACCAAGCCGACGAUCAGUAGGGGUUCUGAGAGGAUUACCCCCCACACUGGUACUGAGACACGGACCAGACUCCUACGGGAGGCAGCAGUGAGGAAUAUUGGUCAAUGGGCGAGAGCCUGAACCAGCCAUCCCGCGUGCAGGAUGACGGCCCUAUGGGUUGUAAACUGCUUUUCUGCUCCAAGAAACCUGAUUACGCGUAAUCAGUUGACGGUAGAGUAGGAAUAAGCAUCGGCUAACUCCGUGCCAGCAGCCGCGGUAAUACGGAGGAUGCAAGCGUUAUCCGGAUUCAUUGGGUUUAAAGGGUGCGCAGGUUGGAAUGUAAGUCAGUGGUGAAAUACUGCCGCUUAACGGUAGAACUGCCAUUGAUACUGCGUUUCUUGAGUAUGGUUGAGGUAGGUGGAAUGUGUUGUGUAGCGGUGAAAUGCAUAGAUAUGACACAGAACGCCAAUUGCGAAGGCAGCUUACUAAGCCAUUACUGACGCUGAGGCACGAAAGCGUGGGGAUCGAACAGGAUUAGAUACCCUGGUAGUCCACGCCGUAAACGAUGAUCACUCGCUGUUUGCGAUAUACAGCAAGCGGCUGAGCGAAAGCAUUAAGUGAUCCACCUGGGGAGUACGAUCGCAAGGUUGAAACUCAAAGGAAUUGACGGGGGCCCGCACAAGCAGUGGAGUAUGUGGUUUAAUUCGAAGCAACGCGAAGAACCUUACCAGGGCUUGACAUACCUCUGACGUAUCUAGAGAUAGGUAUUUUCUUCGGAACAGAGGAUACAGGUGGUGCAUGGUUGUCGUCAGCUCGUGUCGUGAGAUGUUGGGUUAAGUCCCGCAACGAGCGCAACCCCUGUUGUUAGUUGCCAGCAUGAAAGAUGGGCACUCUAGCGAGACUGCCGGUGACAAAUCGGAGGAAGGUGGGGACGACGUCAAAUCAUCAUGCCCCUUAUGUCCUGGGCUACACACGUACUACAAUGGCUAUUACAACGGGAAGCUAAAGCGCAAGCCGGAGCAAAUCCCAAAAAAUAGUCCCAGUUCAGAUUGUGGGCUGAAACCCGCCCACAUGAAGUCGGAAUUGCUAGUAAUGGCAGGUCAGCAUACUGCCGUGAAUACGUUCCCGGGCCUUGUACACACCGCCCGUCACACCAUGAGAGUCUGCAACGACCCGAAGUCAGUAGUCUAACCGCAAGGAGGGCGCUGCCGAAGGUGGGGCCGAUGAUUGGGGUGAAGUCGUAACAAGGUAACC
rnacentral:rRNA from 1 species